CAGUCCUCAGCUUUCUGCAUUCUGGAUAACUGGCUAUGACAGUCACACAUCAGAGUCUACUGUCCUCAUGCGAUGGAAAGUGAGUGAGAGCAGCGAGCCUGUGAGCAUUGUUCAUGCCAGGCAACAGCCGUCAAUGUGGGGAUCGAGCAGACGCCACUGUCAGUGAGAUAAGUGUCUGUUUUGCUGAGGGUUCUGCUCACGACCCAUAUCAGUUUCUUGCCUUUCUCUGUUUCUUUCUCUCUCUCUCUCUCUCACUCUCUUCUCUAGUGUGUUGGCCAACAAUCUGUCUCUGUCCUUGCCUCUCCUUGUGCUGUCUCCCUUCAUAGGACACGGGCAGGAGUGCUAGGUGUGCAUCCCCACAGGCUAGGUCUCAGGAGCUAUGAACAAAUAGGAGGAGAUGAAAAUCAUUCAGGAUAUUGGGUGCUAGAGUGGAGCGGUGUCUGUGGAUGUUGACUCAGUCUCUGUUCAUCGAGUCGAGCGGAUGUAGAUGGGAUGGGAGAGGGAAGCAGGGAUGAGGGCAUUCAUAGAGCUCUGUGUAGUGACAGUUCUUGCUUGGCUUUAUUAGUUUGCAGAGCAAUCGUCCAGGAGCCCCAGCCGGAUGAGAAUGUCAGAAGUGGACCUCAGCAGCGUGGACAUCCUUCUAAGGAAAUAAGAAUAGUCCUCAGGUUUCUGCCUUCUGCAUAACUGGCUUACUAAGGAAAAAGACGUCACAUGUCAAAGUCUACUGCCCUUAUGAGUGAGAGUGACGAGACUGCGAGCGUUGUUGGUGCCAGGCAGGAGCCGUCCAUCUGGGAGCAGAACAGCUGCUACUAUCACUGAGAUAAGUAUCUGUUUUGCUGAGGGUUCUGCUCACGGCCCACCUGGCUACAGGUAGAGACACCCCGUUAGGUGGAGUGGGUUUGUAAGAAAAGGUUCCUGACUAGCUGUGGUUUUGAGGGAGACACGGUCCCCAUUUUCAGGGGCUGAUUUCUCUGGCCAGGAUCGGUGUGUCCUCGGCAGGAGAAGGUUAGAUCCAUGAGGGAUGACUCCAGGUGGUGAGUUGCUUGCCUUCCUCCUCUGUUUCUCUCUCUUUCUUCUCUAGUCUACUCUACUGUGUUGGCCAACACACACUCUCUCGGCUGUCUCCGUUCAUAGGGCAAGGACAGGAGUGCUAUGUGUGCAUCCCCUCAGGCUAGGUCUCGGGAGCUACGAACAAGUAGGAGGGGACAAAAAUCAUGCAUCGUAGUGGGCGCUAGAGUGGAGGGGUGACUGUGGAUGUUGACUGUCUCUCUUCAAGUGGGCCUGAUGUAGAUAGGCAGGGAUGAGGGCAAGAUUACCUGCACCAAUUGAAUUUUGUGUAGUGAUGGCUCUUGCUUGGCUCAUUUCCUGCGCUUGCAGAGGAAUUGUCCAGGAGCAGCAGCUGAAGGAGAAAAUGGCAGACGCGGACCUGAGGAGCCUGGACAUCCUUCUAAGCAGACAUGAAAGGUCCUCAGAUUUCUGCCUCCCACACAACUGGCUGUGAGUAAGCGGUCAGUGCUUGGAAUCCCUCAUCUGUACUGGCUCCGGUUUUGUUCAGAGGCUCUGAAUUUCCUCAUUGGACACGGUGCUCUGUGGGAUUCAGACGAGGCAAAGGCACAAGUCUCCUGUGCAGAUGCUGGGUUUAUUACCAAGUGGAGAGUCAGAGUCCACUCCGCACAUGCCAUGGAAAGGGAGCGAGAGCUGGGAGAUUCUAAGCAUUGUUGAUGCCAGGGAAGAGCCAUCCAGCUGGGAGUGGAGCAAGGACCACUGUCAGUGAGAUAAGUGUCUUGUUAGGUGAAGGCUCUGCUGUGGUUACGAGGGAGACAAGGUCCCUAUUUUCAGGGGCUGCUCAGUCCUCUGGCCAGUACCGGUGUGUCCUCUGCAGCGGAAGGUUGGAUCCAGGAGGAUGACUCCAGGUGACAAGUUGCUUGCCUUCCUCCCGUGUUUCUCAUUUUCUCGCUCUGUCUCUUUAGUGUGUUGGCCAAUGCUCUCUCUUAAUCUGUCCUUUCCUUGUGCCAUCUCCCUUCUUAGGACACAGGCAGGCCUGCGAGAUGUGCAUCUGCACAGGUUAGGUCUUGAAAGCCCUGAAGUAGUAGGAGGGGACGAAAACCAUGAGGGGUAGUGGGUGCGAGAGUGGAGCAGUGACUGUCAGUGUUGAAUCGGUCUCUGUUCAAGUGGGGCUGAUGUAGAUGGGUGGAAGAGGGAGGCAGGAUUGAGGGCAACAUUUCAAGCACCAUUAGAACUGUGUGUAGAGAUGGCGCAUGCUUGGCUUUUGCAGCUGCAUUUCCAGAGGAAUUGUCCAGGAGCUCGAGCCGGAGGAGAAACUGGCAGAGGUGGAUCUGAGCAGCUUGGACACGGUUCUAACCAGACAGGAACAGUCCUCAGCUUUCUGCCUUCUGAACAACUGCCUUUUGCAGAGGAAUCGUCCAGGAGCCCUUGCCGGAGGAGAAUAUUCAGCAGUGGAUCUGAGAAGCCUGGACAUCCUUCUAAGGAGACAUGAAUAGUCCUCGGGUUUCUGCAUAACUGGCUGUUCCUCAUCUGUACUUGCUGUAGUUUUCUUCGCAGGCUGUGUGCUUCCUCCUUGGGUACGGGGCUCUGUGGCUUGGGAGGGCCCAGAAUCUGCUCUGCGGAGUGACUGUUGGGUGCCAUUAAGAGGGCCAAUGCAGAGAGGAGAAAAGGGGCCUGAACCCUGAUUACAGGGCGGUCACCCUUUCUUUAGUAAAAUACUCCUCCUUUAAACUCGGUGCGGGGGGAAGUCCCCAAUGUGAAAAGAUCUGGAAAUGAACAGGUAAGGGAGGGAUCCUGCUGAGUGUCUCCUUUCCGAUCAAUCCUCCAUCUCUCAGCAACACCCUUCCGGACUUACCUUCCUACCUCACCAAGAAAAUAACUUGGUGCUCCCUAACCUUUUCCAGAAAAGACCCCUCUUCCUUGUGACGCAGUCCUGUUAGUAGAGUUAGGUGCACCCACGUGCUGGCUCUGAGUACCACCGCAUGUGCUUACAACACCUGAACAUCAAAACAUUUCAGAAAGGACCGCCACAUCAAUCCCUUCGGACGUAGCCCUAGGAAUCUCCUCUGUCUAUCUCCAAAGAGACACAAGGCCUGGAAUUUGAACACAGCUGAUGGAGCUGUCCGAAUCUCUACACUUGAGCACUCAUCAGUGCGACGGUGUCUUUCUUGUGCACAAGAAAACAAAGGGUUAAAGUUGUGAUUGGUUGAACGGUGUAAAUUGGACAGGACAAAAGGACUUGAGGAAGGAUGAGGUGGAAGUGAGGGUCUGAAAGGAGCCCCCCACCUCACCUGUUCAUUUCCAGAUGGAGUGACAUUUGCAUGGUUGGGCCAUUUCUUGGCUUUUUUGAGAAAAGGGGCGCAUUUUCCCACGGCUUCCACCAUCCCCUUACAGCUGCCCCUUCGCCACACUAUGUUGCAUCUGACCUGGAUAGGUCGCAAGUAAGAUUUCAUUUCAAAUCUCAAAAAAGUCCAGUAGAAAUAAUUGUGGGGGAAUUUCCUGUCACUAAGAGAAACGGAAGCUCAAGCCUUCUCAAGGGGUGGGGUGUCGCUCAGCCACAGGCACAAAAAGGCUCCCCUAGUUUAAGCGUGCGAGGGAUAAGACGUUACAGCCUGGUUACAGGGCAGUCAUUUUGCCGGGCGUGUCAAAGUGACCUGUGGUUUAAUUUGCUUGGCAAAGGAGACCCAAACCUUCCUUACAGGGUGGUCCUUAAGCCAGGGGCGUUUGAAUGGGGCAGA